rnacentral:sRNA from 1 species
GACCUGGAAGCCGGCGAGAGAGACCCCUGUCUGCAACCCACAAAACUCUUUGCGAGGCUGAGGACCUAGAGGAAGACGCCUCUGCUGUGCUCCGAGCCAUCCAAGUGGAGAACGCGGCCCUGCAGAGGGCGCUCCUCAGCAGAAAGGCCGAGCAGCCGGCCAGCGCACUGCAGCUGCUUCCCAUCACCACGGCGACCACUACUCAGGAGCCGGCAGCAGGGGGAGCCAGAGCCAUCAACCAGGCCAUGGACAGAAUUGGACUUCUGGGAAGCAGACAACAGCAGAAGCUUCUGAAAGUCCUCCAGGCCGUCGAAAAUGACUCUGCCCACCUCAGCAGAGUGGUUUCACCAACCAAGGAGCAAGUAUCACACACAGAGAGAAUGAGGGCAGACGAGAUCAAAGAUGCCAUCUACGUGACCAUGGAGAUCCUGUCCAACUGGGGCAACUCGUGGUGGGUGGGUCUCACAGAAGUCGAGUUCUUUGACUUGAAUGACACAAAGCUUUAUGUGUCGCCCCACGAUGUGGAUAUCCGGAACACAGCCACUCCUGGGGAGCUGGGCCGCCUCGUCAACAGGAACUUAGCUGGCAAGAAAGACUCCUCCCCGUGGACCUGCCCCUUCCACCCACCACUCCAGCUGUUUUUUGUUAUUCGAAACACAAGACAGCUGGGGGACUUCCGUCUGGCCAAGAUCAAGGUUCGGAAUUACUGGACGGCUGAUGGCAAGACACCUGGUCUUCCAGGACGCCGUCACGGUCAAGGUGGCGCAGUGAGCAGGAGCACACACUUCACGAGUCAUGGAGCUCCCUCAGUGCCUUCGACCGCUCCCACCGAGGACGCAUCUCCAACACAGAGCUCCCGGGGGACAUCCUAGAUGAGCUCCUGCAGCAAAAGAGCAGCCGGCACAGCGACUUGCCCCCCUCCAAGAAGGGGGAGCAGCCAGGGCUGUCGAGAGGGCAAGAUGGCUACUCUGGAGAGACAGACGCUGGGGGCGACUUUAAAAUCCCUGUCUUGCCUUAUGGACAGCGCUUGAUCAUUGACAUCAAGUCUACCUGGGGGGACAGACACUAUGUCGGCCUCAAUGGAAUAGAAAUAUUCAGUUCCAAGGGCGAACCAGUGCAGAUUUCAAACAUAAAAGCAGACCCUCCCGAUAUCAAUAUUUUACCAGCCUAUGGGAAAGACCCCCGCGUGGUCACCAACCUCGUCGAUGGGGUGAACAGGACCCAGGAUGACAUGCAUGUCUGGCUGGCCCCCUUCACACGGGGCAAAUCCCACUCCAUCACCAUUGACUUCACGCACCCUUGCCACGUUGCCCUGAUCAGAAUUUGGAACUACAAUAAAUCUCGGAUACAUUCCUUCCGAGGCGUGAAGGAUAUCACAAUGCUGUUAGACACCCAGUGCAUCUUUGAAGGAGAAAUCGCCAAGGCCUCUGGAACCCUGGCGGGAGCCCCAGAGCACUUUGGAGACACGAUCUUAUUCACGACCGAUGAUGACAUUCUCGAGGCCAUAUUCUAUUCCGAUGAGAUGUUUGACCUGGACGUGGGGAGCCUGGACAGCCUGCAGGAUGAGGAGGCAAUGAGGAGGCCCAGCACAGCUGACGGCGAGGGGGAUGAGCGGCCCUUUACCCAGGCUGGCUUGGGGGCUGAUGACCGGAUCCCGGAGCUAGAGCUCCCAUCCAGUUCCCCUGUCCCCCAAGUCACCACGCCAGAGCCAGGCAUCUACCACGGAAUCUGUGAGUAGCUCUCCUGGAGCAGUGUCGGGUGGAAGGAGGACCUUCCGGGGUCAGGGGGAGUUGUGGCCACUUGGGACAGGGUUUCCCUGGACAAUCGGGUGGGUUGGACACUGUACAGAGACACCAGGCUAUGGGGCAAGUGGAGGCUGAAACCAGCCUGCGCUCAGCUCCCUGGCCCUAGCGGGGCCACCUCACUCCAGAGGAGGGGCAUCUCUUAGCGUUUUGCCCUCCCUGAGGGGCAUUUUUGCAUUUUGCAUGCAGACACCCUAUGAGUUAGCUGUGACCCUGACCCAGGAGGCUGUAGUUGGCCAGAAAGUGUGAAACAAGAGGACAUUAGAGCCUGAAGAGACCCAAGGCAUCUGUUGGUGCAGUGCCCUGAGCUGUCUCUUCCAACUCCACCAAAGAGCAGAUGCACAGGCAGAGAAAGCCUGCAUCUACUCUGCCCCGGGGGUGGGGGCAGGUGCACAGGCCCAGGGUACCAGGUCUUCUGACUUUUCAGAAGAAGUCGGAAAUCUAGAGUCUUACGUGAAGUCUCCAGAUUCUCAAAUGUGGGUAACGAAUUUUCUCAUGUUUUAAAAUAUCGCAUGAGCCAAACAAAACAGUUAUUGUGUAUCUGGCCAGCUGGCUGCCAGUUUGUGAUCUCUGAGCAAAUCCCAGGGGUUUUCUGCUGGGCCUGUUCAUCACCCUUCUUUUCCAUUGAUCCUUCCGGCCGGUUCCUCUCUUCAUCCAUGCGUGUCCACAUCAGCCCCUCCCCGUCCUGGGGAAUCUUCAAGCCCAAGGUCACUGCUGAUUGUGAUCUCCUCCCUCCUGCGCCCUGCUAACCAGGUUCCUGGCAGCCUCACUUCCUGCUCUCUCCUGCCCCCUGUGAACGUGACCCGCUUCUACUUUAUCUUCUGAGAACAAAAGAUGUGACACUGUCGGGCUCCCCUCCCCACCUCCCCAUCCUCAUCUCCAAAAUGAAGCCGGAGCCUCUCUGAAUCCUGGUGUCAGCCCUUCCAGUACCUCCCCAUGCCAUCUCUGGAGUUCACCUGCAGGCACCUGUGCAAGCCACACCUUCCGCCUAGGAUGCCUCCCUGCUCCAUCUCUGCCUUCUGACAACCGCCUGUCGCUGGCUAGGUUCCCUAGACGCAGACCCUGAGAUGGAGUUUACUGGGGUGUGCUCUUGUCAGGGAAGGGCAGGAGGCAAGAUUGGGCAGAGGGAGAAACUGGUCUGCGGUUCAGCCACUUCAAGGCCUCAGCCUGCUCCACAGGGAGCUCAGAACCUGGGAUGGCCCUUUGGGGUCAUCCUGAGUUGAGUGAGAGGCCACGUCUUUAUCUGUAUCAACGUGGCACUGGCUAUGGGCUGCCCCUGGGGAGGGGCAUGGCUUUUUAUUUUACUUUUUAAUUUGUAUUUAUUUAUUUUGACACAGUUUUACUCUGUCGCUCAGGCUGGAGAGCAGUGGCAUGAUCUCAGCUCACUGCAACCUCCGCCUCCCAGGUUCAAGAGAUCUCCUGCCUCAGC